AGCGAACGCUGGCGGCAGGCCUAAUACAUGCAAGUCGAGCGCACCUUCGGACUUAGUGGCGGACGGGUGAGUAACACGUGGGAACGUGCCUUUAGGUUCGGAAUAACUCAGGGAAACUUGUGCUAAUACCGAAUGUGCCCUUCGGGGGAAAGAUUUAUCGCCUUUAGAGCGGCCCGCGUCUGAUUAGCUAGUUGGUGAGGUAAAGGCUCACCAAGGCGACGAUCAGUAGCUGGUCUGAGAGGAUGAUCAGCCACAUUGGGACUGAGACACGGCCCAAACUCCUACGGGAGGCAGCAGUGGGGAAUCUUGCGCAAUGGGCGAAAGCCUGACGCAGCCAUGCCGCGUGAAUGAUGAAGGUCUUAGGAUUGUAAAAUUCUUUCACCGGGGACGAUAAUGACGGUACCCGGAGAAGAAGCCCCGGCUAACUUCGUGCCAGCCGCCGCAGUAAGAC
rnacentral:rRNA from 1 species